UACUACUUUACUAAUACUACAACUAAUAAUACUAAAAUUAAUACUAACACUAAUACUACUAAUACUACUGAUACUACUAAUUAUGAUGAUGAUUGUGAUGGUGGUGAUGAUGAUGUUGAUGAUGAUGAUGAUGGUGGUGAUGGUGAUGAUGAUACUAAUACUAAUACCACUAAUAGUAAUACUAAUACUAAUACUACUACUUAAUUAUAAUACAAAUCAUAAUCAUAAUUGUCUAAAUAUUAUUGGUGCAUAAUUUAAUUGUUUAUUCUUUUGAUUUUGAGGUGAAACACAAGGCCAAUACUACUACUACUACUAAAACAACAAAUACUACAAAUAUUAAUAUCAGUACUACUACUACUACCACUACUACCACUACUACUACUACUACUACUACUACUACUACUACUACUACAACUAAUAAUACUAAUAAUGCUAAUACUAAUAUUAAUAAUAAUAAUAAUAAUAAUAACACUACUACUACUACUACUACUACUACUACUACUACUACAAAUACUACACAUAUUAAUAUCAAUACUACUACUACUACUACUACUACUACUACUACUACUACUACUAAAAAUACUACACAUAUUAAUGUCAAUACUACUAAUAAUAAUACUGCUAAUACUACUACUACUACUACCAUACCAUACUAUACAAACUAUACUAUAAUACUAACACUAAUACUACUAAUAAUACUGAUACUACUACUACUAUUACUACUACUACUACUACUACUACUACUACUACUACUUCUACUACUACUACUACUACUACUACUACUACUACUUCUACUACAACAAAUACUACACAUAUUAAUAUCAAAACUACUAAUAAUAAUACUGCUAAUACUACUACUACUAUACUGUACUAACUAUACUAUAAUACUAACACUAAUACUACUAAUAAUACUGAUACGAAUACUACUGAUGAUACUACUACUACUACUACUACUACUACUAAUACUACUACUACUACUAAUACUACUACUACUACUACUAAUACCACUACUAAUACUACUAAUACUAGAACUAAUAAUACUACUUUACUAAUACUACAACUAAUAAUACUAAAAUUAAUACUAACACUAAUACUACUUAUACUACUGAUACUACUAAUUAUGAUGAUGGUGAUGGUGAUGAUACUAAUACUACUACUUAAUUAUAAUACAAAUCAUAAUCACAAUUGUCUAAACAUUAUUGGUGCAUAAUUUAAUUCAUUAUUCUUUUGAUUUUGAGGUGAAACACAAGGCCAAUAUUUAAAGUGAUAGUUCACUCAAAAAAGACAUUUAUGAUUAUUUACUCAUGCUCAAGUUUUUUAAAAUUGUAAACAUUUCUUUGUUCUGCUAAACACAAAGAAAGAUAAUUGUAAUCAAGCAGGAAGCAGGACAUCAUUGACUUCCAUACAGAACAAAGAAAUGUAUUUACUAUAAAUUCAUUAAUUCACUGAUUAUUUUUAACAACUUUAGGGUGAGUAAAUGAUGACAUCAUUUUCAUUUUUUGGCGAACUAUCCCUUUAAAGCUCUGCUUUAACUCAACAUCUGUUGUAAUUCUGCCCACUAGUGGUAAAUGACAAAAACACAGCUGAUGUACCUUGACUAAAAAGUCACAGUCCUCCACCUGAAAAGCAAUGUCCUUCACCCCAUCACCAUGUUUAACAAGAUGCUCCCCCAUUUCUGAGGAAAGAAACACUUGUUUAACACUUAUG